GAUGUUUCCUUGUGGGCCAGAUACAGAGGGAGGAGCUGAACUUCAGCUUCCCAUGGCAAAUCACAGCUCUCGGAGAGCUGUAUAUGUCAGUCUGAAACUAAUGCUAGAGCAAACCAUUCAGUCAGACCAACUGUGGACACCAAUUUCCAAAACACAAAGUCAGAAGGAACCAUCAGCUAUAUCAAAUAGAAAAUGGACACACGGAAGUUUCAGCAGCUCAUCAGUCUUACUUCUACAUUGAAGUGCUGGAAUUUCAUUCUCGUACUUUUGGGUGUUGACCUCUCAAACCUUUAUUUAUUUUAUCUAUCUCCUGACCUCAAACCUUCUGAGUUUUGUACUUGCCAAACAGCCAACGAACAGGCUUAGAUUUGUUAUUAUUUGUUUAGAAACUGUUCAGCUCAGAUGCACAUAGCAUAAUGUGAUGGCACCACUCCCAUUCCUCGCUGAAAUACUCACUUGAUUCCUGAAAUGGUACUCUGCAUUUCAGCUACCGGUCAGAUCAAAAGAGGGAAAGAGGAGGAAGUCAGAUAAUUAUUCUUGAUGUAAGUAGGAUUAGAGAAAUUUAGAAAACACAAUGCCUUUUAUUUUGUGCCUUCUGCAAGGAUAUUCCUUUCCAGCUAGAUAGUUUUAAAAGUGCCUUGAUUUCCUCCUCUCUUUGAAAGAGUGUGGAAUCACAGACUAUGCUGUUACGUAUAACACUCAGUCUUUUUACACUCUGAACACCUCUGAUCGGAACAUACCAAUGUACAAUGACGUAGAGAAGAAUUUACAACACCCCUAUGGAAUUCAUCCCAGCAUCAGUGAAGUCAGAGUGUGAUUUACCACUGAAGUUGAUAGCCCUGGAUUGCAGCCAGGUAAUGUAAAAUGGACUUAGAGGCGUGCUCAGCACAAAGGUAUGUCCUUGAGAAAGCAGGUUAAUGCAAGCAAGAGCUGCCCUCUGGAACUUCAUGCAGCCCAACACUUGGAUAUCUGCAGGAAAUGAACACGAGUGGGAAAGUAUCUGUGAUGGAGAAGGGACUUGGAUUACUCUAAGGGUGGAAAUGAAAUAAGGCCUGGACAGACUGGAGAAGGCUUCAGACACAGAACAAAUCGAGGGCUGCCAAUCAUUGUCUGACCCAAAGAAAGAAGCUGUGUAUCUCCAGGGUGAGGACACAGAUCACAGAGCUGAUGAGAUAAAGGGAAGAAGCCAAUGAAGAGUCACAAAGAGAGUGAGUUGGCCAAUGGGGAUUGCUACUCAUACUAGCUGCAAACCUGAGGUUAUCUGAAUCACAGGAAUGAAACAAAGAAGUGGAUUUCCUCACAAAAGAUGAAACCAAUCCUUACAAAUACAGAGGCUGUACUUUUAAAAUCUGUUUCAAAAAAGACAAUUUAGAUAAACAGCUGACAGCAUGAUCAUUAGAAGUUGUUUUAUGCUUUGAGGAAUCAGAUCUCCAGAAGGUAUAUGCUUAAUAGGGCAGUUUCAAAGACUGCAUAAUCCAUACCUCUUUCAUGAACAGGCCUUUUGAGCUGCAACAGCAGUGCAGUUUUAGACCGAAUCCCUUCACUGAUGUGAAGAGGAUAUUAUUGCACACUACAGGUAGAAUAAAACCAUAACAAACUUCCUCAGAAAGCUACAAUUUGGAAGCAGUGUUUUUAUUACUUUCAUUCAUGAAUGUUUUAUUCUUACUACUCACAGACCAUAUAUAUCCAUCAAAAUGUCCUCGUAUAUAAUGAAAAUCUGAAACUACUAAAAUCAUCCAAUCCUAAAAAAGAAACAUAGGCAUGAAAUUGCUGAGAUGUCUGUCAUACACAGCUUUAAAUGGACCUUGCUCUGUGACUUUUAUUUUCUGUCAAAAUUUUACACUGCUUAAUUUCACUAAUGUGCUGAUGGAGUAUCAGUUUGGAAACCUGAAAAUUCACAUCUUUUCAAUGAAAUAUUCACCCCAGGACAUAAUAUCAGAAGAUGGUUGGAAAUAGUUGGGAGUGGGAACUGGCUUUAAGGUCCCUUUCAACCAAAGACAUUCUAUAAUUCUAUAAGAUAAUCACAAGUAAUAUCAAACAAAUCAGCUUUGCAUUUUAUGACCUGCUUCAAUACCUGCUGAAUCUGAUGGCACCAAGUUGGCUCAUGCUGAAGCUGUAAAUCUGAUCCUGCUAGAAUCAAGAGAUCUUCUCCCAAGGCUGCUGUGCUGCACAGCUCCUCAUUAAGGUCUGUCGUGGUUUCAAAAGAUGAUGGAAAGCUCUUUCACAUAUUGCUGGGAUGCUUACAGUUUCUUGGAAUAUAAAAGUUUAACAGUAUUUGUAAAAAUAUAGAUCAGCAAUAAUUAGCAUAGAUGUUGACUAAUGCUCAGGCAAAUGAUCAGAAGAGUUUAACUGAUGGGCAUGGAUAAUAAAAUCCCAACAUUUAAUUAAUGCUACAGCAAUGGCAAAUUGAGUCUGAGGCAUCUAGCUGAGAUACUGCUCAGCAUCAGUAUCAGGGCUGUCAGGCAAAAAGAUUUGGUGGAGUUUGUAUACAAGUGCAAUGAUCAAAAGCCAGAGAUGGAAAUAAUACAGGUACAAUAAACCCAGUUCUCCACAAGCAUAUUGAUAAUUUUCACAGGGUAGAAGACAUCAUUUUUGGUUACUUUGCAAUGUAAGUGAGGAGCAUCAAGUCAGUGGUUUGAACUUGCCCAAAACAGCAAGAAAAAAUUAUGAAGUGAUUAAUAGGGAAAAUAUUAGCAUAGCAGGAAGGAGAAAGGAAAUGUCGUGUUAAGUCUGAAGUGUAGAUGAAUGUUUCCUGGACGCUAGCCAAGUUCACUCAUCAGUUUGAUAGUACAAAAAAAAGGAUUGUUUUGAAUUUUUUGUCACAUAUUUAUCACUCUUCCAUUUCAUAAGAUAUAUGCUAAAGAACAGAGUGGAUUGGUUCCUCUAGGACCAAGAUGCUUUGACUUCUAAAUAAAGCAAUGAUGAAAAACAGCUUUCAAAGAAUAUUUCUCUUUGAAGACAGUAUAUGUGGGGGAUACACAAGAAAAAAAAAAGAUUAAUUGCUCCCCCAAACACCGCAAUAACACAAUGUUUAACAAUGGAAAAGUUUGACUUGGAGCAGAUUAAUUACCUUCUAGCAGCUUUAAAUUAAAAUAGAUAAGCUGUUCCUUCCCUAAAGUUUUGAGCUGGGUUCUCAAAUGUUAUGAUUUAUAACCGAUCUAGUCAUUGUUUUUCCUCAUAGUCAUUGUUUUUCCUCGUCUGCUCCAUGUAGCUGAAUGCUUUAAAGUACUGGAAUUACUUUUGUGCUGUAUACAAAGCAGAAUAUUGCCAUAUCCAAUAGCAAGCAAAAGACUUAUUAUCAGUUGGUUCCCAUGCCAUUAGCUAGAAUUAUAUUCUACCAUUGCUUCUGCCUCCUAUACACAUUUUAAAAAAUUUUCACCUGUCAUAUUCGAGACAAAAUUUCAC